rnacentral:sRNA from 1 species
UACAAACAAAUUUGAUGGUCCCUACUACAGCUGAACAUGUGUGCCUCAAGAGAAAUACUUCCUUGAGUUUUCUUUUAAGUGUUCUUUCAGCCCUUCUUAUAUAUAUAAUUACGCUUCUUUUUUUUACUGACAUUACCUUUUGUAUUUGUAGAAAACACACCAUUGGGAUCCUUUGAUAACAUGGACUAUCCAGUAUU